rnacentral:rRNA from 1 species
UACGGGGGGGGCAAGCGUUGUUCGGAAUUACUGGGCGUAAAGGGCUCGUAGGCGGCCAACUAAGUCGGAUGUGAAAUCCCCAGGCUUAACCUGGGAACUGCAUCCGAUACUGGAUGGCUUGAAUCCGGGAGAGGGAUGCAGAAUUCCAGGUGUAGCGGUGAAAUGCGUAGAUAUCUGGAGGAAUACCGGUGGCGAAGGCGGCAUCCUGGACCAGCUAUUGACGCUGAGUAG